AAACCAACAGGGAUUGCUCUAGUAACGGCGAGUGAAGCAGCAAUAGCUCAAAUUUGAAAUCUGGCGUCUUCGACGUCCGAGUUGUAAUUUGUAGAGGAUGCUUCUGAGUAACCACCGACCUAAGUUCCUUGGAACAGGACGUCAUAGAGGGUGAGAAUCCCGUAUGCGGUCGGAAAGGUGCUCUAUACGUAGCUCCUUCGACGAGUCGAGUUGUUUGGGAAUGCAGCUCUAAAUGGGAGGUAAAUUUCUUCUAAAGCUAAAUAUUGGCCAGAGACCGAUAGCGCACAAGUAGAGUGAUCGAAAGAUGAAAAGCACUUUGGAAAGAGAGUUAAGAAGCACGUGAAAUUGUUAAAAGGGAAGGGAUUGCAACCAGACUUGCUCGCGGUGUUCCGCCGGUCUUCUGACCGGUCUACUCGCCGCGUUGCAGGCCAGCAUCGUCUGGUGCCGCUGGAUAAGACUUGAGGAAUGUAGCUCCCUCGGGAGUGUUAUAGCCUCUUGUGAUGCAGCGAGCGCCGGGCGAGGUCCGCGCUUCGGCUAGGAUGCUGGCGUAAUGGUUGUAA
rnacentral:rRNA from 1 species